rnacentral:rRNA from 1 species
GUGGGGAAUUUUGGACAAUGGGGGCAACCCUGAUCCAGCCAUGCCGCGUGCGGGAAGAAGGCCUUCGGGUUGUAAACCGCUUUUAGCUGGGAAGAAAAGGCACGGGCCAAUACCCCGUGUUCUUGACGGUACCGGCGGAAUAAGCACCGGCUAACUACGUGCCAGCAGCCGCGGUAAUACGUAGGGUGCGAGCGUUAAUCGGAAUUACUGGGCGUAAAGCGUGCGCAGGCGGUUCGUUGUGUUUGCGGUGAAAGCCCCGGGCUCAACCUGGGAAUGGCCGUGAAAACUGGCGAGCUGGAGUGUGGCAGAGGGGGGUGGAAUUCCAGGUGUAGCAGUGAAAUGCGUAGAGAUCUGGAGGAACACCGAUGGCGAAGGCAGCCCCCUGGGCUGACACUGACGCUCAGGCACGAAAGCGUGGGGAGCAAACAGGAUUAGAUACCCGAGUAGUCC